UGGCGGUAGAGUUUAGCAGUUCGUAUCAUGCUUUUGUAGGGAAUUGCGUUGCAUUGUCCGUCUAAUAUUGGCUUAGGAGGGCAAUCAUGGACUGCAAGGGAACUAGUUGGCUGAAAAAAGAGAAGAAUGAAGUAUAUGCUGAACCAGGCUCCUUGGUACAGUUACACACAUCGAUCAUGAAAGUAAAAGAAGAAUGGGAUGAGCAAUUGGACCAACAGUGUCUUGAAGAUAACUUAGGAACUUCUUGGCCAAAUGAUUUUAUCAAGGAGGAUCCUGAACUAAAUUUGGAGGUGGAUGAAACUGAGAAUACUGU